rnacentral:rRNA from 1 species
GACGAACGCUGGCGGCGUGCUUAACACAUGCAAGUCGAACGAUGAAGCCGCUUCGGUGGUGGAUUAGUGGCGAACGGGUGAGUAACACGUGGGCAAUCUGCCCUGCACUCUGGGACAAGCCCUGGAAACGGGGUCUAAUACCGGAUAUGACCAUCGGACGCAUGGCCUGGUGGUGGAAAGCUCUGGUGGUGCAGGAUGAGCCCGCGGCCUAUCAGCUUGUUGGUGGGGUGAUGGCCUACCAAGGCGACGACGGGUAGCCGGCCUGAGAGGGCGACCGGCCACACUGGGACUGAGACACGGCCCAGACUCCUACGGGAGGCAGCAGUGGGGAAUAUUGCACAAUGGGCGCAAGCCUGAUGCAGCGACGCCGCGUGAGGGAUGACGGCCUUCGGGUUGUAAACCUCUUUCAGCAGGGAAGAAGCUUUCGGGUGACGGUACCUGCAGAAGAAGCACCGGCUAACUACGUGCCAGCCGCCGCAGUAA